rnacentral:rRNA from 1 species
AGUGAACGCUGGCGGUAGGCCUAACACAUGCAAGUCGAACGGCAGCACAGUAAGAGCUUGCUCUUACGGGUGGCGAGUGGCGGACGGGUGAGGAAUACAUCGGAAUCUACUUUUUCGUGGGGGAUAACGUAGGGAAACUUACGCUAAUACCGCAUACGACCUACGGGUGAAAGCAGGGGAUCUUCGGACCUUGCGCGAUUGAAUGAGCCGAUGUCGGAUUAGCUAGUUGGCGGGGUAAAGGCCCACCAAGGCGACGAUCCGUAGCUGGUCUGAGAGGAUGGUCAGCCACACGGGAACUGAGACACGGUCCAGACUCCUACGGGAGGCAGCAGUGGGGAAUAUUGGACAGAGGGCGCGAGCCUUAUCCAGCCAUACCGCGUGGGUGAAGAAGGCCUUCGGGUUGUAAAGCCCUUUUGUUGGGAAAGAAAAGCAGCAGGUUAAUACCCCGCUGUUCUGACGGUACCCAAAGAAUAAGCACCGGCUAACUUCGUG